UGCCAGCAGCCGCGGUAAUACGGAAGGUGCAAGCGUUGUUCGGAUUGACUGGGCGUAAAGAGCACGUAGGCGGAUUCAUAAGUCGAAUGUGAAAGCCCAGGGCUUAACCCUGGAACUGCAUUCGAAACUGUGGAUCUUGAAUGUUUGAGAGGUUGGCGGAAUUCCAGGUGUAGGAGUGAAAUCCGUAGAUAUCUGGAGGAACACCGGAGGCGAAGGCGGCUAACUGGCUCGAUACUGACGCUGAGGUGCGAAAGUGUGGGGAGCAAACAGGAUUAGAUA
rnacentral:rRNA from 1 species